rnacentral:rRNA from 1 species
GACGAACGCUGGCGGCGUGCUUAACACAUGCAAGUCGAACGGAAAGGCCCUGCUUUUGUGGGGUGCUCGAGUGGCGAACGGGUGAGUAACACGUGAGUAACCUGCCCUUGACUUUGGGAUAACUUCAGGAAACUGGGGCUAAUACCGGAUAGGAGCUCCUGCUGCAUGGUGGGGGUUGGAAAGUUUCGGCGGUUGGGGAUGGACUCGCGGCUUAUCAGCUUGUUGGUGGGGUAGUGGCUUACCAAGGCUUUGACGGGUAGCCGGCCUGAGAGGGUGACCGGCCACAUUGGGACUGAGAUACGGGCCAGACUUCUACGGUAUGCAGCAGUGGGGAAUAGUGCACAAUGGGCGGGAGCCUGAUGCAGCAACGCCGCGUGCGGGAUGACGGCCUUCGGGUUGUGAACCGCUUUCGCCUGUGACGAAGCGUGAGUGACGGUAAUGGGUAAAGAAGCACCGGCUAACUACGUG